CACGGGCAGCGGACGUAGCAGCAGCACUUCUGCGGGCAGCACUGACAGCAACAUAUGCAGAAGAGCAUGAUGAGCAGGAGAGCACCGAUGAGGAUAAACAGGACGGUCAGCCAGUCUGGAACAGCUGCAGUCUCACCCGUGGAGUAGUAAUCCAGCACUGGGUCUUUACAGAAGGACUUGUACCUCCAGGUGACCAGGACAUCCUGAGGGUUGGCUGAGGUGGAGUAGUCACAGCGAAUGAUCACAGACGCGAACAGAGUCGUACUCCUCUGCGUCUCUGGAACAAUCACCUGGAUGGACAGCAGCUCUGAUACAAGUAGGAAGAAUAAUGGUAACAUGUAAAAUAACUAGCCUGGUCGACACCAGACCCUUCUCAGUUCUAACUGACAGUGACUUGCGGAGCAAAUCCAAAUUUGCCAAAAUUGUGUCAGGGUUUUCCCAGGCUAUAAAAUAACUGCAAACACAACACAAUAUUCAAACGUGUUUGUGUCACAGCUUUGCUCUUGAAUGCUGGAUUGAUAAGAAUCUCACCAAACUGGUUAACGGCUUACAAGAGAAGUCCUUAAGUGUGCGCACUGUUCUAUAUCAUUAGAAGUAAUAGCUUAAAAUUAUGAUCAUAACUGUAGCUUAUUGAGAAAAGCAUCAGUUACGGUUCGGAUCAAAGUUUAAACACUUUCUCUUUCAGUGGUCGCCCAGAACCGGCUAGAGAUGCGUGUUUGUCAGUGACUGAUGUGUUGGCAUUUUUUUCCAGUUAAUUUGUGUCUGAAAAUAUUUACAGCAAUCGAUGAGGGCUGCAACUAACAAUUAUUUUCAUUAUUGAUUAAUCUGCCAGUUUUGUUAAGAAAUAACUGAAAUGUUUGACCCAUUAAAAUAUCAGAAAAGAGCUCAAGUUGAUGUCUUCAAAUUGCGUGCUUUAUCUGAACAGUCCCAAACUAUCAUACAGAAACAGAGAAUUUCUGCUUUAAAAAGUAGAAAUUAAUAAAGUAAAAUUAAUAGGGGGCCCUGGUGGCUCCCAUGGUUGAGUGUGCGCCCCCUGUACCAAGGAUCAGUCCUUACCACAGCGGCCCAGGGUUUAAUUCCAACCUAUGGCCCUUUGCUGCAUGUCGUACCCCCUUACCUCUCUCCCUCUCCCC